rfam:Aedes aegypti strain Liverpool supercont1.1012 genomic scaffold, whole genome shotgun sequence.
CAAACGGCCCUUUUCAGGGCCACCAAUAUGUUAAAGAGUUGACG